CAGCCUCGGUCCCAAGGAGUCCCCGUUCUGGAGGACACAGACAUCCCCAUCCUGUGGGGUUAGGGCCUGGCCAGAGGGAGUCUUAGGGUUGCUUAAGGAGCAGGCGGCGAGGCUUGUUGGAGGAGGGGGCAUCAGAGCUGGGGUUUUGAAGGAUGCGUAGAAGUCAGGCAGGAGAGUGUUAACAUCUAAUGACCAGCAGGCAGCCUAGGCCUUGAGGGGUGAUGCUAGGGUUCUGGCUUUGGCGCUGACUGUGAACUCGUGGCCCUGAUACCCCCUCCUGCCAGUCGAGCUCAUCCUCCCGGGAGCGCCUCCACCAGCUUCCUUUCCAGCCGACACCGGAUGAACUAUGCUUCCUGUCCAAGCAUUUCCGCAGCUCAGAGAGCGUGGCUGACGAGGAGGGCGGCCACCGCUCACCCCACCUUCGUCCCCGUUCCCGCAGCCUCAGGUGGGCCUCGACCUCUAACCUCGGCCCCUCCCCGGGCUGCCUUUGGGGCCCACAUUGUGGCCCCUCCUCCACCUCUGGCCCUGACCCUGUCCGAGCCUGGCCUCUGAUCCUCGACCCUCCCCUGGACUGGAUUUCUGGUCCCACGUCACAAGCUGACUGUCCCCCGCCUGCCCCUUCCCCUUCAGCCCGGGACGCACAACAGGGAACUUCGACAAUGAAAUCGUCAUGAUGAAUCAUGUGUACCGGGAGAGGUUCCCCAAGGUGGGCAGUGCCCGGUGGCUGCACCGGCCCUAACUCCCCUCCAUGUUGUUGUCCCUCCUUGGCACCCUGUCUUCUUGGCUGUAUCCCCCCCAUCUCUCCAUUUCUGUCUGUCCCUAUCUCUCUGUCUCAAAGCGCCCCCCUCCAACCCAGGCAUAUUGCUUCUUCCCCCCCCCCAACCCAGUUCUCUGGCCCCGUCGUCCCCAUCAUCACAUUCUCCCCCACAACUGCCUGUCUUGCCCCCACCUGUGUGUAUUGCCCCCCCCCCCCGGCCCCGUCCAGUGACCAGGUUGUCCCAUCCGCCCUGCCCAGGCCACGGCACAGAUGGAAGGCCGCCUGGAAGAAUUCCUUGCUGCUUUUGCACCCGGCGCCCGGCUGGCCCUGGCCGAUGGCGUCCUGGGCUUCAUCCACCACCAGAUCAUUGAGCUGGCCCGCGACUGCCUGGCCAAGUCUGGAGAGGCCCUCGUCACCUCCCGCUACUUCAUGGAGAUGCAGGAGAAGCUGGAGAGGCUGCUACAAGAUGUGCGUGGUGGUGGGGGGUGGGGGGUGGGUGUAGGGGUCCCCGGGGAGGGCAGGGCCAAGGGCCUGCAGGCGACGCCAUCACCCGCCUCUCCCUAGGCCCACGAGCGCUCGGACAGUGAGGAGGUCGGCUUCAUUGUCCAGCUUGUCCGAAAGCUGCUCAUCAUCAUCUCGAGACCGGCGAGGCUCCUUGAGUGCCUGGUGAGUCUCUGCACCCAGCCAGGUGUGGGGCCCAGCGGUUGAGACUAGGCCGCUAGAACCGUCCUGCUGAGAUACAAGAGACAUGCCCAUCGGGUGGGGUUUGGGGAGGAGCACGGGGUGCCUCCCGGCUGGGCUGGGCUCUUUUCCCCAGGGAAGUGCCAGGAGCUGAGAUCUGGAGGGGAGAGUUGGAGCCACCGAUAGUGAAGCUGCUUCAGACGGAGGGAACGGCACGGGCCAAGGCCUGGAGGUGGGCACAAGCCCCGCCUUACCGGCCCCUCUGCCACCCCCAGGAGUUUGACCCUGAGGAGUUUUACCACCUGCUGGAGGCUGCCGAGGGCCAGGCCCGAGAGGGCCAGGGCAUCAAGACGGACCUGCCUCAGUACAUCAUUGGGCAGCUGGGCCUGGCUAAGGACCCCCUCGAGGGUAAGCUGACGGGAGUAGGGUGGAAAGGGAAAACCAAGGAGAGGCCGGGGCAGAGCUGUGAUUCGAACCCAGAGCCGUCAACUCCACAGCUGCCAUGAUGUCCUUCGUCUCUCUGUGGCUCUGCCCUCAGCCACCUGUGGGGCCCACUGUGGGAAAGUGCCUGGGGUUCCUGGGUCAGCCAGCUGUAAGUGGGACCUCUGACCUGCCAAGGGGUGGCUCCCAGAGGAGCCACCGCUCCUCCCACGAGUCCCCAAAGUACUUUCCUGAUUUCAUCAUCUGACCGUGGCCCAGGAGACGGACUUAGAGUCGGACAGGACAACCAACCCGUGGGCUUGACCAAGCUGGUCAAGAACUCCCCCCAGACAGCAGAGUCAGGAGACGUGCACCUGAGACGUGGGACCCGGGGAGCGUCGAACUUGGACCUGACCUGGUCCAGGUGCGGCCAUGGGAGGCUCUGGGGAAAGGUUGAUGUGUAAGCGAGUCCUGGCGGAUGGAGAGGUGACCAGGUACAGAUCUGGGGAAGAGAGGGGGUGAGCCGGGCAGGGGGGGAGGGUGAAAGCAAAGGCCCUGAGGUGUGCGGGAAGAACAGUGAAGGGGGAAGCGACUGGAGCUGAGGAAGAAGCAAAGCUGGGAGAAGGUGGUGGGGUCAGCAGGGCUUUGCCACAGUGGCUGGCGUCUGCCCAGCAUCGCUGCUCUGUUAACCCUGGGACUGGGCUGCCACUGUCCCCGUUUAAGGCUGAGGCUCCAGGCAGAUGAGGUCGAGCAGGGAUUCAGACCUCGGCGGGCCCCAGGCCAGACCGCUUGUCGACUGGCUGUGUGGCCCCGGCUGUGCCUGGCUGUCCAAUGAAGGCAGGUGGUGCCGUGGGCGGCCCCGGGGUCAGAGGAAGCAGAAAGUGGCCGGGCAGUUGGCAGCUGAGACUGUGGGGCAGGUCAUCUAUCCAGUGCCCCCGGCCAGGAACCUACUGAGUAAAAGAGGCUGUAUUCAAACCCAGACCUCCCUCACCCGUGAGACCCCAUUGUCCCAUCCCAGCCUUGCUCCGUGACCGUGAGACACUGUCAUGAUUCAGUGCCAUCAUCACGGCUCAUGUGCACCAGCCGCUCACUCGGGGCCGCCCCUCUGCCAAAGCCCUAGGGCCAGAAAACGGCAUGGGUGGGGGGCUCCCUCUGGGCCACACCCUCAGCUGAGGAGGAUGUUAGGAGCCAAGACCCAGAGGGCCUAUGUCACAGCCUGUGUUAACAGGCCCAAGGCUCGGAGCCAGGAUGAUGGCUGUGCCAUUCAGAGGCUGGGCUUCCCACGGGUCCUUCUGGAAAGUUCCUCAGGCGUUGCUUACUCUGGCCUGGGUUUGGCCAAGGUCUGGACGUAGUAGGGGCUCGAUGAUGCGAUGAUGGUAUCGUGGGAGCCGGUCAGGGAGGCACUACGUCCCCAGGAUGAGCCCUGGAGGCCUUGGGAAAUCUCUGGGCGAUCGAGGCACAGGCACGGAGGCAUCAUUUGAGGCUCCUCCCUUGUCUCACAGAAAUGGUGCCUCUGAGUCACCUUGAAGAGGGAGGACAGCCUCCAGCACCUGAGUCCCCGGAGGUAAGUCACAGAGCUUUGACGCCCCCACCUGUCGGGUUCUUUUCAAGGUAGAUCAGGCAGCCGUGGGAGGGGCUGGGUGUGCGGACGUGUUGCAUGUAGUAGGUGCUUAGUAAAUGCCUGUGACUUGAGGGAGAAGGUAGAGGCGAGUGCCCUGCCCUGGCGGUUGGACAGGGCAAGGCUGGAGGGGAUACUGGAAAGGGGCGUUUUGGAAGAUGUCUAGGAGUUUUCUGGAAGGAGGACGUGGCUCCAGCCAAAGCUCAGGAACUCAGAAGCUGAGUUUGAGAAGUCUGGAAGGAGAAAGUAGCAUCAGAUGUCGGGACCAGUGGCUGGGACUUGAAGGCAGGAAGAGCCCGGCCUGCUCUGAGGUGGGGCAGGACCCUGACCCUUCUUUGCCCCCUAGAGCCGUGCCCUGGUCGGCCCAUCGCGGAGGAAGCCGUGUGAGAAUGACUUCGAGACCAUCAAACUCAUUAGCAACGGGGCCUACGGGUAAGUCCUCGGGUCCCCCAGGGACUGAUUUCUCAGCCGCCCACGGGGAUGCCUGAGGUCCAGCGGCCCCUGAAUGUGCAGUCCGGGAAGCUGAGGCCUGAAGAGGGCAGUAGAGACACAGUACAGCCAGGCCAGGGUCCCAGACAGGCUCCGCCACGGUCUAGGCCAUUACCUGCCCCAGGUGUAGGGAGUUCUAGGUAUACAAGGAAAAAGAUGGCCCCGUGGUGGCGGUAGUGAGCAGUGAGCGUUAUUUUAGUGCUACUUUGACAGGUCCGUGUGGGGCUGGGGUGGGAGGGGGAGUCCUUCACAGGAUAAGACUAUCCAGAAGGGGCUUGUGCGUUUGGGUGAUGUGGCUCAGCAGCACUGCCAGGAGUCUGGGUCAGGGAGCUCCAAGAGGCAGCAGUGGCUUGGGGUCUUUUUAGCCCCAGGGCUCGUCUUCCGGAAGGCUAGUAAAUUUGGUAUCGUUUCACUACGGAUGCAAAGCUGGCAAGCUCUCAACGGUCAAAAAUCUGCUUAUUUGGGCCCUAUUUAAAGCACUUUGAGUUUGGUGCCAGGGGGCUUUUGACUGCAGGGGUCUCAGUCUGCCGUGAAGACAUAAGCCAAGGGCCAUCUCUGUCAUAUCGAUGUGACACCAAGAAAGGCAGCUUAAACCCAUAGGGUGGCUGCUUUUGGAGAGGGGCCAGGUAAGGAGAAAGGGUGUCCCGGCUGUAGGGCGCAGCGCGGGCAGAGGCCUGGCACGUUGGGUUCUGGGCCCAGGUCGGGGCCCGUUGCCUGCCCGGGCCUCGGUCUCAAGCCUCGGCGAACCCGGCUCCCCCAGGGCUGUCUACCUGGUGCGGCACCGAGACACACGGCAGCGCUUUGCCAUCAAGAAGAUCAACAAGCAGAACCUGAUUCUGCGCAACCAGAUCCAGCAGGUCUUUGUGGAGCGUGACAUCCUCACCUUUGCCGAGAACCCGUUUGUGGUCAGCAUGUUCUGCUCCUUCGAGACCCGUCGCCACUUGUGUAUGGUCAUGGAGUAUGUGGAAGGUGCGGUCACUAGGGCUUGCAUGCCUCCAGUGACGGGGAGCUCACCACCUACCCAGAAGAAAGUCCCUCCUUUGACCAAGCUAGGGUCUGCUCCGGCCUCCCUGGGGUCCCAGCCUGCCUUGGGAGCUCCUCAGUCUGUGGUGGGGGGGGUCCAACCUGGGCAGUUGGGGCUGAGGGAGUCCAAAGAGGUGUGUGAGGGUGGGACCCAGACAUCCUAGGCGGGGGGGGGGGGGGGUACCAGUGAGCAGAGGCCUGAGGGCCAGAAGUAAGAGCAAGGACGGAGGGAGGGUGGGACGUGUGGGUCGGAAGGGCCAGGAUGAUUGGGGGCCAGGGAGAAGAGUUGUUGGAUCAGGUUUGCAGUUAAAGAAUGAGCAGGGCCUUCAGGGGGUGCAGGGGUGUGCACUGUUCAAGGUCCUUCUAGGCAAGGAGGGGGAAUGAGCACUUAGGAGGCACUGGCUGUGUACAGGGUAAGGAACCGUGUCCUCGCAGGGCUGCUGCCCUGCCAAGGGAGAAUCAGGAAUCUGGAUCUGCCCUCCCUCCUGCCCUUCUUGGUUCCCCGCCUUGGUUUGGUAUAGACCAGGGAUGUUUUGCAGGAGGGUGGGGGGGGGGGGGGGGGGUCUCGUAAGCCCAGGGCCUCUGAACGCAUCUGUCGCCCAACAGGUGGUGACUGUGCCACGCUUCUGAAGAACAUGGGCCCACUGCCCGUGGACAUGGCCCGCAUGUACUUCGCCGAGACGGUCCUGGCACUGGAGUACUUGCACAACUACGGCAUAGUGCACCGGGACCUCAAGCCUGACAAGUGAGCAGCCUGGGGCUUUGGGAGCGGGGCCUCUGACUGGGGUCUGGGGCUGCUCAGAGCUCCCCGCCUAUCCAGGUCCUGCUGGCCCGUGGGCCCCUGGCAGCAGGAAGACAGGGAGCAGUGGCAACUUUGGGCACCUGGUGCAUACAGAGGAGGACAGGUCCUUAAGAGGCACCUGCUGUAUGCGAGGGGAGGAUAGUUGUAUUUACGGAGAUGCGGUCAGGCAAAGAGAGAAUGUGCACUUUAGUGUGCACACAACGCACAGGGGAAGGGACUGUGCACUCACAGAGUUACCGCGGCACAAGAGGAGAGAACGUGCACUCAGGAGGCACCGGCUGUAUACAGGGAACAGGGACGUGCCCUUUGCAAGACCUUCUGUGUGAAGAAAGGGACUGUGCAUGUCUUGAGCACCUGUUGUGUGUUUGUGCAGGGAAGACAGGAAGAGAUGUUCACUGAGAGCCUUGGGAAGUUUAUUUUGCUCUAGCACCUGAUAAGCACCUACUGCAUGCCAGGUCCUCUGUGGGCGACCGUGAGACGCGUGUGUGAAUAAUCCAUCAUGCUUUAUAACCCCUACAUAAUUUGCAAGGCACUCUCCCCUGCAUUAAUUGAGCACCUGCUGUUUAUAGAGCAAGGGGCUGCUCUUGAUAUCAAGUGCCGUCUGGAUACCAGGCCAGGAGCUCGAGUUUCUUAGGUUCUUUUUUUUUUUUUUUAAUUUUUUUUUCAACGUUUUUAUUUAUUUUUGGGACAGAGAGAGACAGAGCAUGAACGGGGGAGGGGCAGAGAGAGAGGGAGACACAGAACCGGAAACAGGCUCCAGGCUCCGAGCCAUCAGCCCAGAGCCUGACGCGGGGCUCGAACUCACGGACCGCGAGAUCGUGACCUGGCUGAAGUCGGACGCUUAACCGACUGCGCCACCCAGGCGCCCCGAGUUUCUUAGGUUCUUGCUGCACGGGGGUGUGAACAUCAGCAUUAAGAGCCUGCACGUUUUCAGGCGUCUUGUAGUUUGCCAGCGGCUUAGAAAAUAAAGUGUGUAUUUGGCACCUGCCAUGUACCUGGGCCUCUGUGCGCAACACUUGUCAAUAUGCUCUGUGCCGUCAGGUCUGUGGAUCAUCCUAGAGUGGGGUGGGGUCUCCUGAGUGACCCCAAGGCAGCACCUGCCCCUCCCAGGCUCGGGACCCCCAUCUGCAAAAUGGCACAGGCCGGCGCCCAGCCCCCGAAGGUUCAGGGAGACAGGCGCACACGAUAGACACGCGAGAGAGAUACUUUCUCCUUUCACUUUGGAAAAUUCCAAAUACAUCCCAAAGUCAAGAGAAGGCGCAUUCAUUCACUGGGGCUGUCAGAGCAAAGUAGCACAGAACUGGGCGGCUUAAACAAUAGAAGUUAAUUCUCACAGUUCUGGAAGCCAGAAGUCCAAGAUCGAGGUAGCAGCAGGGCUCCCUCUGACGUCCCCAGGGAAGGAUCUCUUCCAGGACCCUCCCCCAGCUUCUGGUGAUUUCUUGGCUUGUGGCGACAUUGCCCCGCUCUUCACAUGGCGUCCUCCCUCUGCAUGUCUGGGUCCAAAUGCCGUUCCUGUAAGGACACCAGUCAUACUGGAUGAGGGGUCACUGUACUCAGGGACGUCCUCCUCUUAACUAAUCACACAACAAUCCCGUCUCCAAAUAAGGUCACGUUCGUAGUCACUAGAGGUCCGGACGUCAACAUGUGACUUUGGAGGUACAUAACUCAGCCCAGAACAGAAGGAAGGGUCCAGUGCCCCCCCGUCCACUCCCCACAUUCAACCCGUUUCCACAGCUUCCAACGCUUGGCCAAUCCUGCUUCCUCCCCAUCCCUGGGUCCCCCCACCCCCCAUGCCGGGCAAUUUGAAGCAUAUCCCAGGCAUCGGAUCAUUUCAUUAUCAUUUCAUUUGUAAGAAGGAAAGGUUUUUUGUUUUUUUUAACAUUUACCUAUUUUUGAGAGAGAGAGAGAGAGAGAGAGAGCGCGCGAGCAGGGGAGGGGCAGAGAGAGAGGAAACAGACUCCAAAGCAGGCUCCAGGCUCCAAGCGGUCAGCACAGAGCCCGACGCGGGGCUCGAACCCACAAACCGUGAGAUCAUGACCUGAGCCGAACUUGGACACUUAACCCACUGAGCCACCACGGCACCCCCAGAACUUUUUAAAGACAGUGGGUGCACAGAAUCGUUCCUUUAGAGAGUCCGUGGAUGCAGUUCUGUGCCAAGUAAACGGUUUAUCAAACCACUUGGCUAUACGCAGCUCUCCAGAAAUUAAGCAGCCGAGGUACCAGGAGGUGCGCGAAACGGCGACUUUCUAAAGGUGGUGCGUAUGGUUCUGUCAUCUGGCAAGGCGUUUAUAUCCUUGAGCCGACGGGAAAACUAGAACAGCAGGGCGCAUGGGAGGUGUACAAGGUUUUAAAAACGGGUGCCCUCAGGAGGUGCACAGAAAUAUUUCUGUAUACAGCAGCUGCUCAAGGUAUGUUCGUUUUUCGACAGGAAACGUAAAUAACGAGGGCUUGCAAAGAAAGCAUUUAGUGAAAACAAAAAAUGGCCACGUGUGCAAAAAUAUACUGUGGGUUUCAGACGUUUUCAUGCACAGCGGGGAGACGGUAUGAUUCUCGGGAGAUGUAAAUUCCAACAGCGGAGUAUACAGUAGGUGCUCAGUAGCGACACCGGAUGCAUCCGGUGGGUGCACCGAGACGUUUGCCAGAUUGGCAGUAUUGCCCAAGACCUGUCGGUCCUCGUGAUGACGUGCCCGCGCUCGGGAAGUGCUUUCCGACCCCCUCGGGGGAGUUAAGCCGCCCUGGCUGGACCUCAGCCCACCUGGGGUGGCGCCAGGUUCCGGGGCGGCGUGAGAAGCCAGGCACCUCGGGCCCCCCAGCCCUGAGCGCACCACCCGCCCACCCGCAGCCUGCUCAUCACCUCACUUGGCCACAUCAAGCUGACCGACUUCGGCCUAUCCAAGAUUGGGCUCAUGAGCAUGGCCACCAACCUCUAUGAGGGCCACAUCGAGAAGGACACCCGGGAGUUCGUGGACAAGCAGGUGUGCGGGUGGGCAGGUGGCCCUGGGUGCGGGGCCGCCCCCCCCCCUAUCUGGAUCCUGACCCUCAGGAUGCGGGGAGACUUCGCAGCACCAAGGAGAAAAUAAACCGCACCCCCCCCCCCCCCCCCCCCCCCCCCCCCCCGCCCCCCGCCCCCCGCCCCGUAAUUCUCUCCACCCCCCGUUCCCAGCCUGGCCUUGGCCUCUCCGUCCCCCUCGUGGUCUCUCUGGAGUUGGAGGCCAUCCUCCUGUUCCCCAUUCUGCCUGACCCAGGUGUGCGGGACCCCUGAGUACAUCGCGCCCGAGGUCAUCUUCCGCCAGGGCUACGGGAAGCCGGUGGACUGGUGGGCCAUGGGUGUCGUCCUCUAUGAAUUCCUGGUGGGCUGUGUGCCCUUCUUUGGAGACACCCCCGAGGAACUCUUCGGCCAGGUGGUCAGUGGUGCGUUUCCCCCACCGUGGCCCCGGUUCGAGUCUUGGCCGCCCUGGGGCUCUGGGCAGCAGUUUCCCUACCGAAGGGAGCAGCUAUGUGUGUGGAUUGGGCACGUGCGGUGUGCCUGGCCCCAGCUGGACACUGGGGACAUGGCCAAGGGCGAGACAGCAAGGGAGAUAAACACGCAAGUUAGGGAACAUCAGAUACAAAAAAAAGUGCCCAGGAAAAGAAGCAGGAAGAGGGGAGGGGAUAGGGUACCAGAGGUGGUGGGGGCGGGGGCUUGGGGGGGGCGCUGCAUUAAAUAGAGGGUCAUGGAGGCCUCGCCAAGGUGACGGUGUGAGUAAAGACCUGAAGGAGCAGCAGGGAGUCCCAAAAGUAGAAGAGGGGAAGGUGUUCUGGGCAGAGGAUGCAGCCACAGCAAAGGCUGUGUAUGAGGUGGGACCGAGCCUGGUGUGUUGAUGGAAUAGAAAAGGCUGAUGGCUUAGAGUACAGUGAGUGAGGGGAGGUGGUUGGAGGUGCUAUGAAGGGUUGUCCUCACCCUCUCACUCUCUUUUAUUUUAUUUUACGUUUAUUAUUAUUUUUUUAAUUUGACUUGAUUUAUUUUUCCCUCUCCUCAUUUUAGAUGAGAUCAUGUGGCCCGAAGGGGAUGAGGCCCUUCCGGCAGAUGCCCAGGACCUCAUCACCAGGCUGCUCCGACAGAGCCCACUGGACCGUCUGGGCACUGGUAUGUGGACGUGGGAUGGGGAGAGGCUGCAUAGAGAAGGGGGACUUGGGGCUGGGGUUUUGAAGGACGCACAGGAGUUCACCGGGAACUAGCGUAAGACCUUGAAGGAAUAGCGGGUAUCUGGGUCGGAUGCAGACAAGGGGGCACUGAGGCUGAGUGAGAGCCUACAAGGUCACCGUGGGGUAUGUCCUAAGGUCCUCAAAGGCCCAGCCCAGUGGAUCCCACUGUUCAGAUUCCCCAGCCACCUAGUUAACGGGGAAAGGACUAUUUGAGACUCACGCAGCCGCUACGGGUUAUGUCCAUGAGGAAGCUUAGCCACUGGAGAGGACCACAGGGGCUGAGGUUGGGGAACAGGAUCCCUUCACGCAGUCAGCUCUCUGCUCCGUGGAGUAGAAAUGCAUAGAGAAGGCUGGAAAGAAAGCCCUCCUAGGGCUUUGGGAUCUCGGAAUCCAGCAGAGGAAAGAGCAGGGCCUGGGGGCUAGCCCCAAUUCUGUCUGUCUUCAGGCUCUUAAACAGCGGCUGUUCCCCUCGCCAUCUUUACGGCUCUGUGUUGGCCAAGUCGGGGCUCAGAUUUGGCCCAGGGGGCAGUGGGGGACAGGGACACGCAGGGCCGAGCCAGGCAUGUGUUGGCAGGUGGCACCCACGAGGUAAAACAGCACCCCUUCUUCCGAACACUGGACUGGGCAGGGCUUCUGCGACACAAAGCUGAGUUCGUGCCACAGCUCGAAGCUGAGGAUGACACCAGCUACUUUGACAGUAAGUGGUGGGGGGGGUGGGCUCUGCUAUCCCACAAGCCCCUGAGGCGGGGAGGGGAUGUCUGCCAGGGUCUCCACCCAAGCACCUCGCCCUGGACCUGGAGCUUCUGACUUCCGGAGCUUUCUGAGUAAUCAGAGCGUGUCUGCCGGCAGCUGCCCCCUCCCUGGCUGGGAUUUCCUGUGCCUCUGGGGUCCGGAGGCCACGGCAUCCUCUUGGGUUGUGGGAGGGGAAACCAAGGCACUGAGUGUGGCAGACCCUUGCCUGGCGUCCCUAGCAGGUUCAGCCUCCUGAGCGUCCAGCCCUGACCAAGGAUGGUGCCUCAUCUGUCACACGGGAGGGAGGGGCGCUUCGCUUUGCCUUGUGGAGGGAGCCCCUCCGACAUUGUGGGCGGGCUCAGACGAGUCUUCCUCUGCCCACUUGGGGCUCCAGCCACACAGGUUAAAUGCUCUAGGCUUCCAGCACCUCCUCUAGAAUUUGCUGUGUGAUCUUGGGCGUGUCAGAGGUCUUCUCUGAGCAGCUGUUUCCUGUUCUGUAAAGUGGGGAGCAUCCUUUAUGUUUAAGAUGCACACGAUCACCUAAUUCUGGGUGACCCAUCUCAAGGGCGAGGCUCCCGAGGGUCAGACACAAGAAUCCCCACCCACAGUCCCACGGUUUUUAGGGACCCAGCUGGAGUUUUUCGGCCAGGUCCUCACUCUGCCAACUCAAGCCUCCCGUGGCCCCUAAAUACACCAGACACAGCCCCACCUCAGUGCCUUUGCCCUGACCGUGUCUCCCCACCCCGGGACGCCCUCCCCAGAUCACCCCACAGCCCUCGCGGCCGCCUCGGGGCAUCGGGUGGGCUGUACGUGCCUUUCCGUCCUGCAGCGCGCUCGGAACGCUACCGCCACCUGGGCUCCGAGGACGAGGAGACCAACGACGAGGAGUCAUCCACGGAGAUCCCCCAGUUCUCGUCAUGUUCCCACCGGUUCAGCAAGG
rnacentral:lncRNA from 1 species